AAGUCGUAACAAGGUUUCCGUAGGUGAACCUGCGGAAGGAUCAUUAUCACUUUAUGUCCCUAAACGAACCGUGAACUGCAUGCUCCUCAUAAGGCUCAUUGCCGGUUCUUCCUUUUCUUAGUCUCUCAUUAUUGUUGGGUUUUGUUUUUAACUAUUAACCAAUUGAACCCUUUAUAUUUUGAUUUUUUUGACUGAAUUGUUUCUUACCCUUCAUUGGGAAGAAAUCAUUUAUUAAACAAAAGUACAACUCUUAGCAACGGAUAUCUUGGCUCUC
rnacentral:misc_RNA from 1 species